rnacentral:pre_miRNA from 1 species
AGUGAGAUAGCUGGGUCAAAUGGUGGUUCCAUUCCAAGUUUUCUGAGGAAUCUCUAUACUGCUUUCCUGAGUGGUUGCACCAAUUUGCAGUCCCAUCAGCAAU